rnacentral:rRNA from 1 species
UACGUAGGUGGCAAGCGUUGUCCGGACUUCUUGGGCGUAAAGCGCGCGCAGGCGGUCCUUUAAGUCUGAUGUGAAAGCCCACGGCUCAACCGUGGAGGGUCAUUGGAAACUGGGGGACUUGAGUACAGAAGAGAAGAGUGGAAUUCCACGUGUAGCGGUGAAAUGCGUAGAGAUGUGGAGGAACACCAGUGGCGAAGGCGACUCUUUGGUCUGUAACUGACGCUGAGGCGCGAAAGCGUGGGGAGCAAACAGG